UGUCCAGUAGCACCUUAUAGACCAACUAAGUUUGUUCUGGUAUAAGCUUUCGUGUGCAUGCACCAGAACAAACUUAGUUGGUCUAUAAUGUGCUACUGGACA